rnacentral:lncRNA from 1 species
CCCCCUGCCAUUGUCACCCACCCCAGCAUGGUGUCCCCCCCUCUCAGUGUCCCCCCUGCCACUGUCACCCACCUUGGUGUCACCCCUCAACGUGAUGUCACCCCCUCUCAGUGUCACCUCCCCCUCGGUGUCACCCCUGCUACUGUCACCCACCCUGGUUUGUCACCUCCCCCUUGGUGUCACCUCCCCCUUGGUGUCACCUCCCCCUCGGUGUCACCCCUGUCACUGUCACCCACCCCAGUGUGUGUGUCCCAGUGUGGUGUCCCCCCUCAGCACAGUGUCACCUUCCCCUCAGUGUCACCUUCCUUGGUGUCACCUCCUCUUGGUGUCACCUUCACUGUCACCCACCCCAGUGUGUGUCCCCCCAGCAUGGUGUCACCUCCCUUGGUGUCACCCCCUCUUGGUGUGUACCCCCUCGGUGUCACCCCUGCCACUGUCACCCACCUUGGUGUCCCCUCUCAGCAUGGUGUCACCUCCCUUGGUGUCACCCCCUCUUGGUGUGUACCCCCUUGGUGUCACCUGUGCCACUGUCACCCAGCAUGGUGUCACCCCCUCUUGGUGUCCCCCCUCCCUCAGUGUCACCUCCCCCUUGGUGUCACCUCCUCCCACUGUCACCCACCUUGGCGUCACCCCCUCUUGGUGCCACCCGUGUCACUGUCA